rnacentral:tRNA from 1 species
GGGCGCCUAGCUCAAUCGGUAGAGCAGCGGACUUUUAAUCCGCGGGUUCAGGGUUCGAGUCCCUGGGCGCCCACCA